CCCUUAGAUGUUCUGGGCUGCACGCGUGCUACACUGAUAUUGCCAAUAUGUCAUUCUUAUCCGAAAUGGAUUGGGUAAUCAAGUAAUGAAAUUUCAUGCUUGGAAUCGGUAAUUGCAAUUUUAUCGUGAACGAGGAAUUCCUAGUAAGCACUAGUCAUCAGCUAAUGUUGAUUAUGUCCCUGCCCUUUGUACACACCGCCCGUCGCUACUACUGAUUGGGUGUUCAAGUGAGAUGCUUAGACCCUUGUUGCAUGGGUCAUUAUUGUGCUCCGAAAGGAAAAAGUUUCAAGCUUGAGUGUCUAGAGGAAGUAAAAGUCGUAACA
rnacentral:rRNA from 1 species